GAUGAUCUUCGGGGGUGAGUGCAAUUCUCCACCGACGGUGUUUGGGGUAGCCCAUAAGUCCGUGAGCCGUAAGGCAUGAUCCGGUGUGAUUCCGGAACCGACAGUAUAGUCUGGAUGAGAGAAGUAUUAUA
rnacentral:ncRNA from 2 species